GGAGAUGUACCCAAGUGGCUGAAGGGUUCGGAUUCGAAAUCCGAUAGGCGCCGAAAGGCGUGCGGGGGUUCAAAUCCCUCCAUCUCCGCCA
rnacentral:tRNA from 2 species